GGGUGAGAGUGAGGAUGAGAUUGAGAGAGAGGAUGAGAGGGGACAAUGGGAAGUAAUAAAAGUGAAAACAAAACUUGAAAAUGAAAACAAUUACAAAUAUAUUUCAAUUUUUAAUUUUUGCUUUCACUUUUGUUUCUACUUUCCCCCAUUCUCCCCUCUCAUCUUCCCUCUCAAUCUCAUCUUCACUUUCAUUUU
rnacentral:miRNA from 1 species